rnacentral:ncRNA from 1 species
AAGCGAUAAUACUAAACCACCAGCAAUGGUGGGACGGAAAGCCCAAGGGUCUCACGCAGACAGCCGGGUACCGAA